rnacentral:tRNA from 1 species
GGACCGGUAGCUCAGUCUGGUUAGAGCAGCAGUCUUAUAAACUGCAAGUCGGUGGUUCGAGUCCACUCCGGUCCACCA